rnacentral:tRNA from 1 species
GGAAGCAUAGCUCAGUUGGUAGAGCAGUACAUAUAAUGUGGAGGUAACCAGUUCAAUUCUGGGUGUCUCCC